rnacentral:rRNA from 1 species
ACGGGAGGCAGCAGUGGGGAAUAUUGCGCAAUGGGCGAAAGCCUGACGCAGCGACGCCGCGUGAGGGACGAAGGCCUUCGGGUUGUAAACCUCUUUCAGCAGGGACGAAGCGAGAGUGACGGUACCUGCAGAAGAAGCACCGGCCAACUACGUGCCAGCAGCCGCGGUAAUACGUAGGGUGCAAGCGUUGUCCGGAAUUAUUGGGCGUAAAGAGCUCGUAGGCGGUCUGUUGCGUCGGCUGUGAAAACCCGGGGCUCAACCCCGGGCCUGCAGCCGAUACGGGCAGACUAGAGUUCGGCAGGGGAGACUGGAAUUCCUGGUGUAGCGGUGAAAUGCGCAGAUAUCAGGAGGAACACCGGUGGCGAAGGCGGGUCUCUGGGCCGAUACUGACGCUGAGGAGCGAAAGCGUGGGGAGCGAACAGGAUUAGAUACCCUGGUA